UCAACCAUUCCCCUUAGUUCAUGUUGUCUCUACAAUUUACAAUUGUAUAUGUAGUGCUACCUGAAUUAAAUUCUGGCAACUAAGCUCAUGCAGUGCUUAAGAUUAAAUGGGAUAUAAUGGAAAUGCAAAUGAGAAGUUCAGGGAUAUUCCUGGGAGUGCCUAUUAUGUGGCUCCGGAGGUGCUGAAGCGGAUAUAUGGAGCCGAUAAUUGCAUAUGGAGUGGAGUUAUACUCUACAUUCUGCUGUCUGGCAUUCCUCCUUUUUGGGCAGCAGGGCAGAUCCUCCUGUGAAGCAUAAAUUUCAUUGUAUCCAAGGAGAUAUCAAAUGCUGAAAACAUGGGACUCAAAAUGUAUAGAGAGUCGGAGACACUGCUAAACUGUCAUUUAUGGGUGUCUACCAAAUUCACUAUCAACCACUGUUGUAGGACCGGCGACAUGUUAAAAUUUAUUUUGGUUU